UAGGGAAUCUUCCGCAAUGGACGAAAGUCUGACGGAGCAACGCCGCGUGAGUGAAGAAGGUUUUCGGAUCGUAAAACUCUGUUGUAAGGGAAGAACUAGUACGUUAGUAACUGAACGUACCUUGACGGUACCUUACCAGAAAGCCACGGCUAACUACGUG
rnacentral:rRNA from 1 species